CUUUACUGUGAUUUUGGUUUCAAACAUUUCCUGGACUCCUCUUUCAGAUACUCAGCCUAUGUCUCUCUCAACCUGACUUGACCCAAGCUUGCAUUACAAUAUUCUCCAAAAAAAUUAAAUGAUUAUAAAGCUAACACAAGUGCUUUCUCUGUAAUUGUGUGCCUCUUUCGAAAUUGCUACCAGUGAUGAAAACAAGGCAGGUCUCCCAUGUUUCUGGUUGAGGUUAAAUAGUAACUAGACCACUCUUUGUGAUGUUGCUUUGUGAUGCAAUUCAUGACACUCCUUCACUUCUGGUCCAUGACUACAACCAGACAUUUAUUUGUUGGGUAACCAGAGCACUGUCAGCAAUGUUUAUCCAGUGAUGGAGAAGACAUAGUAUGUUCUGGUUAGUCCUGGGGAAGCAUUUGCAGCCUCAGUCAGAUAUCUUUAUUCUUGUUAUUAUUUUGAUGGUGAAACUCUUGAAGAAUUUUUCUUUGCUUCAUAAAAAAUUGUGAAUCGAUGAAGAGAAGUUUCAGGUAGCUUUUUGAUGAAAUUCCAUCCAAGCUUUCCAACACCAAAGCUAAGGUACAUUAGUGAAGACCAAGUAAGUGCCAGAGGGCACAGAAAUAGUUACAGUACAAAGAUGCAGAGAACAAGCCUCUCCACCACAACUGAGGUCUGUCAUCUUCCAUUCCUCAACAUCAACAUAAAAGAAGACAUGGAAGCUCACAUGACGAGAAUUGUUCAGUGCAGGUGGGGACUUCCUAAAUGAGUUCUGCAGUCCUUGGCUGUUGGAGUUGGGAACCUUCACAACAGCAGCUCAAUAUAUCUGAUUCAGACUAAAAAUGGGUAGAAGUUAGAGGAGCUUUCCAAAGCCCCAUUCCUAAAAUCUCUAUGGGCCCUGCUUCCUCUUCAGAUUGCAAAGAAGCACAUAACAUACUGUAGGAAGGUCUGAAAGAAGUUCCAAAGGGCAGGACUAAAACUAGACCAGCUUACCUUUUAGAGAGUAAUAUAACAUUUUUCUUUUUCCUUCUGUUUUUUUUCUGUUUUAGGAUUUUAUUUUGUCUAGAUGUGCUUGAAUGGAUUAACAUAGCUACUUCUUUGAAAGUUAUAUUGGGACAAAUCAAUUUAGAUUCAUAUGGAAAGACCAUGUGGCAGACCCAAUUAGAAGAUGUAUCAGUUUGUUGGAACCACUCCUUUCCAUGUGCAAGAUGUGUGUAACCAGUUUUGAUGAUUUCCAAGUGUUUCCACCUCAUUUACAGAAACGGACAUGAAUCGCUGGUUUGGCAGUUCAUGCCGGUUCAUUUGUGGGCUGAAUAAGUGUUUUGUGCUUCAAAGCCCUGCCUCCUCCAGUGGGCACCCACUUGGAGAAAAUGGUCUGUCCUUCCUGCCCCACCUCCUCUGGGCGCUGCCUUUGACUGGGCAUCUGCCAGAGGAGGUGGGGCUUUGAAGUGUCAAACACCUGUUCAGCCAAUACACUAGCUGGUGUUUUAUGCCCAUCUCUAUUCUAGAUCCUAGGCAAUGCUUAAAUAUCAAACUUCCCUUUUCCACUGUAAUCCAUGCCUAUUUUAACCCUUGAUGCUAUUUUAUAUUAAAAAUGAAUGUAACUAAAAUGAAAUUCCCCUUCCCCCCACGGAGUGAUGAUUGUUCUGCAAUAUAGCCUCAGGGCUCCUGUGCCUAGGGCUGGCGCAGUGCAAAGAAUAAGAACAAAGUUUAAGUGAAAGUCAAAAACACCAGGAGAAAUGAAAUCACCCAAUAAAGCUGUAUGUAUUCACA
rnacentral:lncRNA from 1 species